rnacentral:rRNA from 1 species
CCUACGGGGGGCAGCAGUGAGGAAUAUUGGUCAAUGGGCGCAAGCCUGAACCAGCCAAGCAGCGUGAAGGAAGACGGCUCUAUGGGUUGUAAACUGCUUUUAUACGGGAAUAAAGCCCAGUAUGUAUACCGCUUUGCAAGUAUCUUACGAAUAAGGAUCGGCUAACUCCGUGCCAGCAGCCGCGGUAAUACGGAGGAUUCGAGCGUUAUCCGGAUUUAUUGGGUUUAAAGGGAGCGUAGGCGGGUUGUUAAGUUAGUUGUGAAAGUUUGGGGCUCAACCCUAGCAUUGCAUUUGAUACUGGCAUCCUUGAGUACAGUAGAGGUAGGCGGAAUUCGUGGUGUAGCGGUGAAAUGCAUAGAGAUCACGAAGAACUCCGAUUGCGAAGGCAGCCUGCUAGACUGUAACUGACGUUGAUGCUCGAAAGUGUGGGUAUCAAACAGGAUUAGAUACCCGUGUAGUC